rnacentral:rRNA from 2 species
UGCAAGUCGACGAGUUCUCGUUGAUGAUCGGUGCUUGCACCGAGAUUCAACAUGGAACGAGUGGCGGACGGGUGAGUAACACGUGGGUAACCUGCCCUUAAGUGGGGGAUAACAUUUGGAAACAGAUGCUAAUACCGCAUAGAUCCAAGAACCGCAUGGUUCUUGGCUGAAAGAUGGCGUAAGCUAUCGCUUUUGGAUGGACCCGCGGCGUAUUAGCUAGUUGGUGAGGUAAUGGCUCACCAAGGCGAUGAUACGUAGCCGAACUGAGAGGUUGAUCGGCCACAUUGGGACUGAGACACGGCCCAAACUCCUACGGGAGGCAGCAGUAGGGAAUCUUCCACAAUGGACGCAAGUCUGAUGGAGCAACGCCGCGUGAGUGAAGAAGGCUUUCGGGUCGUAAAACUCUGUUGUUGGAGAAGAAUGGUCGGCAGAGUAACUGUUGUCGGCGUGACGGUAUCCAACCAGAAAGCCACGGCUAACUACGUGCCAGCAGCCGCGGUAAUACGUAGGUGGCAAGCGUUAUCCGGAUUUAUUGGGCGUAAAGCGAGCGCAGGCGGUUUUUUAAGUCUGAUGUGAAAGCCCUCGGCUUAACCGAGGAAGCGCAUCGGAAACUGGGAAACUUGAGUGCAGAAGAGGACAGUGGAACUCCAUGUGUAGCGGUGAAAUGCGUAGAUAUAUGGAAGAACACCAGUGGCGAAGGCGGCUGUCUGGUCUGUAACUGACGCUGAGGCUCGAAAGCAUGGGUAGCGAACAGGAUUAGAUACCCUGGUAGUCCAUGCCGUAAACGAUGAAUGCUACGUGU